ACUACAGUAGCCUAUAAAGUAAGGUUUAACCCUGAAAAGGUUAAGAAGGUAAACUACCCAGUAGUA
rnacentral:tRNA from 1 species